AAUGUAAUGGUUGGGUCAUAUGGUAAGUGUAUAUGUAUUUUUUUUUAAGAAAUCACCAAACUCUUCCAAAGUGGCUCUACCAUGUUAUAUUCCCAUCAACAAU
rnacentral:pre_miRNA from 1 species